GACGAACCGUGCAAACGUUAUUCGGAAUCACUGGGCUUAAAGGGCGCGUAGGCGGGCCGGAUAGUCUGCGGUGAAAUCCCCCAGCUCAACUGGGGAAUUGCCGUGGAUACUCCCGGUCUCGAGGAGGGUAGGGGCAUCUGGAACAGCCGGUGGAGCGGUGAAAUGCGUUGAUAUCGGCUGGAACUCCGGUGGCGAAGGCGAGAUGCUGGACCCUUUCUGACGCUGAGGCGCGAAAGCCAGGGGAGCGAACGGG
rnacentral:rRNA from 1 species